ACGGAAGGUAGCAGUGGGGAAUAUUGCACAAUGGGGGAAACCCUGAUGCAGCGACGCCGCGUGAGCGAAGAAGUAUUUCGGUAUGUAAAGCUCUAUCAGCAGGGAAGAAAUUGACGGUACCUGACUAAGAAGCCCCGGCUAACUACGCGCCAGCAGCCGCGGUAAUACGUAGGGGGCAAGCGUUAUCCGGAUUUACUGGGUGUAAAGGGAGCGUAGACGGUCGUGCAAGUCUGAAGUGAAAGCUUGUGGCUUAACCAUGGAACUGCUUUGGAAACUGUACGACUAGAGUACCGGAGGGGUAAGCGGAAUUCCUAGUGUAGCGGUGAAAUGCGUAGAUAUUAGGAGGAACACCAGUGGCGAAGGCGGCUUACUGGACUGUAACUGACGUUGAGGCUCGAAAGCGUGGGGAGCAAACAGGAUUAGAUACCCUGGUA
rnacentral:rRNA from 1 species